CCUUGUGCCAGCAGCCGCGGUAAUUCCAGCUCCAAUAGCGUAUAUUAAAGUUGUUGUGGUUAAAAAGCUCGUAGUUGGAUCUCAACAGCCUUGAAGCGGUUAACUUUGUAGUUUUACUGCUUUAUAGGCUGUGCUUUUGCUGGAGGUUUAGGGGUGCUCUUGAUCGAGUGUCUCUGGAUGCCAGCAGGUUUACUUUGAAAAAAUUAGAGUGCUCAAAGCAGGCUAAAAUGCCUGAAUAUUCGUGCAUGGAAUAAUAGAAUAGGAUGUCGAUCCUAUUUUGUUGGUUUUCGGGACUCGACAUAAUGAUAAAUAGGGACAGUCGGGGGCAUUUGUAUUCAAACGACAGAGGUGAAAUUCUUGGACCGUUUGAAGACAAACUACUGCGAAAGCAUUUGCCAAGAAUGUUUUCAUUAAUCAAGAACGAAAGUUAGAGGUUCGAAGGCGAUUAGAUACCGCCCUAGUUCUAACCAUAAACGAUGCCAGCUAGCGAUCUGCCUGCGUUUUUACUGUAGACUGGGCAGGAAGCUUCCGGGAAACCAAAGCAUUUGGGUUCCAGGGGAAGUAUGGUUGCAAAGCUGAAACUUAAAGGAAUUGACGGAAGGGCACCACCAGGAGUGGAGCCUGUGGCUUAAUUUGACUCAACACGGGAAAUCUCACCAGGCCCGGACACUGGAAGGAUUGACAGAUUGAUAGCUCUUUCUUGAUUCGGUGGGUGGUGGUGCAUGGCCGUUCUUAGUUGGUGGAGUGAUUUGUCUGGUUAAUUCCGAUAACGAACGAGACUCUGUCCUGCUAAAUAGUUUCUACUUCUCUUUUGAGUAGAAAUUUCUUCUUAGAGGGACUGGUGACUCUUAGUCACACGAGAUUGAGCAAUAACAGGUCUGUGAUGCCCAA
rnacentral:rRNA from 1 species